rnacentral:rRNA from 1 species
UGACACACCCGAUCGGCGCCCCGCGGCCCCGCACCCCGCCCCCGGGCACACCCCCGUGCACCGGACGGGCGGUGGCCCCGCCCGCGGCCGCGACCCCCCCGGGGGGGAGCCCGCGCGCCCAGACCGCACCGCGAGGGGGGGACUUCGGGCCCCGGGCACCUAGGCCCCCAGAUGGGGCAGCUAGUAGGUGGGGUUAUGGCUCACCUAGGCGACGAUCCCUAGCUGGUCUGAGAGGAUGACCAGCCACACUGGAACUGUGACACGGUCCAGACUCCUACGGGAGGCAGCAGUGGGGAAUAUUGCACAAUGGGCGCAAGCCUGAUGCAGCCAUGCCGCGUGUGUGAAGAAGGCCUUCGGGUUGUAAAGCACUUUCAGCGGGGAGGUAGGCGGUGAGGUUAAUAACCUCUGGGAUUUGAACUUAACCCGCAGAAGAAGCACCGGCCUAAACUCCGUGCCAGCAGCCGCGGUAAUACGGAGGGUGCAAGCGUUAAUCGGAAUUACUGGGCGUAAAGCGCACGCAGGCGGUCUGUCAAGUCGGAUGUGAAAUCCCCGGGCUCAACCUGGGAACUGCAUUCGAAACUGGCAGGCUAGAGUCUUGUAGAGGGGGGUAGAAUUCCUGUGUAGCGGUGAAAUGCGUAGAGAUCUGGAGGAAUACUGUGACGAAGCGCCCCCUGGACAAAGACUGACGCUCAGUGCGAAGCGUGGGGGAGCAAACAGAUUAGAU